rnacentral:lncRNA from 1 species
GCUGUCUGUCCUCCUGAUCUUCCCUGUGACAUUCCGUACUGCUCCAAAGAAAGUGAGAUCCCCAGAUUCCCUACCCCUAGGCCCCUUUCUCCCUUGGUGCCCCAGGAGCCCUAUGCUUCCCUCUCCACUUCCCCUUCCCUCCUCCCACCAUGCCAGGUCUUGGAGAAGACUGGGGAGGGGUGUGGGGGCCUGCAGGCCCAGGGGCACACGCAGUUCCUCCUCCUCCUAUCUGUGUAUCAAGGGCAACCCCCCACCCCCCCGAAGCCUCAGUUUCCUCUGUCAUUAGAAGGGGGAAAUACACCUCUCACAGUGCUGCCAGCAGAUUUCAGUUCCCAGGGAACUCAGACCUUCCUUCCCAAGCCAGGACUCGAUCCCUGGGCAGGGAUGAGACUCUUGGCAAGGCCAAAGAAGGGGCAGGUCACCGCCAACAAACGCCAAUGCCUGAAAGAGAAAGAAAGAGAUGGGGACCUCAGUUGCCUGGCCACCAGACACGUCCUUGCUUUCCCCAGGAAUGGCCUCCUCUGCAAGCCUCUUCUCCAUCUGCUCUGCCCACCCCAGGCUGAGAGCUGCUGUGUGCUCAGGGAGGUCUCCUUUGCCCAGAUCACUUCAGUACACGGUAGGCUUCUAGAGGCCGUCUGGGGCUGGAGGAUGCGACUCUGGCCCUGGGAGGGCCUUGCUAGCUAGGGGCCUUAGGGAGCGUGGGCUGACAUGGCGGAAGAGCAAGACGGUGGGGGAGGGGACGGUAGGAAUGCGUCUCUCCCACUCUUCCCUGUCUCCAAAUACAGAGCUUGCGGGGUGCCCUCAGGUAGGGGCAGGGGAACACGAGGGACAGCAGGAGCAGGCAGAGACCAGUCCUCUGGUCCCAAAGACAGGGCAGGAGGCAGUUUUGCCAAGGGCUGUGCAGGAGCUGCAGAGAGCCCCAGGGCUGAGGGCUGAGAAGAGAACAGACGUGGGGCUCGGCCUAGAAGAGAACCAUCCGCCCUAUGCCCACCGACUGGGGGGAAGGAGAGGGGUGGGGACAUCGUUGCUCCUCUAGGGCCUUCCUGGGGCCACCUCCAGCCCAUUACCCUCCAUUCCCCAGACUGGGAAGUGGGCGGGAGGGGUCCGCCCCUCACCCUAUCCUGGAAUGAUGACUGGAGAGGAGGGGAGAACCUGAGGCUGCCUUUCCUUUCCCCAGCUGGGCUCCACAGCUCUUUGGGCUGGUUUGCCCCGGUGCCUUCCAUAUUUCCCCCCGACCGCCAAGGCGCCCCGACCUCUGGAGGGCAGAGCCACCGCCCCUCCCCCAUUCCAACCUGUCGCCUCCUACCUUUCUGCUCGGGGCCUGGAAAGUCAAGUCGCCGCAGCAAUUCCCUCCUUCUGGUUUCCCCCUCUUUGGCCAAUGUGAGGCAACAGGUAGGCCGAGCCUAGGUAGUUUCUGGAGCCCGAUGGUAGGGGCCUGCUCAGUGCGUUUCUGCGCGAUCCGGGGUCUCCGGGUUGAGACCGCGGCCGGGCCAGGGCUGGGCCUUCGUGCUUGGGCG